rnacentral:misc_RNA from 1 species
AGAAAUAGGCUGCAAGCUACGGCCCUUAAAUCGAAAAAUAUGUGCGAGCGUGUAAUAAAAAGGUGAAGUUAAUUACAUUCUAGUGGUCACGCAAAUGCGUGCGUGUCGCUAAUGAAGAAUAACCCGGGAGUGCUUUUAUUUUGACAUUUUCGACACAGUUUAUCAGACAAUAUUUGCAGAUAUCGUAACUGUUAAGAAUUAAUAACGAUUAUUAUCUUCUUUUUAUUUUUGUACAGUUACUCCAGUGAAUAAUAUAUAGGGUGUUUUCGAAUUGAUAUUAUAUAAUAAUUUGAAAGUGGAUGAAUCUACAUGAAAAGAAACGUUACCAAUAUCCCUGCUGUAUCGAUCGCCAUGGUAAAAUAGCCAAUAUGAUCCCUGGACUUACAUUGAUGGAUUUUUGCUUAUGGAGUCAAAUUUCUUGUGUACUGCGACCAGAAUACGAGUAGAGAACCGCUCAAAGAGAAGAUUCUUUUUGCAUUGGGACGUUUGGAAAAUAGAAAUACCCUGAAGAACGCUUACAGACGUACAAUACGCAGAACAUAAUUGUAAAAUAUAGUGCAUUCUAAUAAAGUUUUACACACUAUAUGCUCC